rnacentral:tRNA from 1 species
UGUAUCCGUAGUUGAACACAACGCUGAUUUUUCGAGUCGGAGGUCCUGGUUAGAAUCCAGGUGGGUAUAA